rfam:Ictidomys tridecemlineatus contig014539, whole genome shotgun sequence.
GAGGUUGUGGCUCAGUGGUAGAGUGCUUACCUGGAAUGUAUGAGGCACUGAGUUCAAUCCUCAGCACCACA